ACUUAAGCAUAUCAAUAAGCGGAGGAAAAGAAACCAACAGGGAUUGCCCUAGUAACGGCGAGUGAAGCGGCAACAGCUCAAAUUUGAAAUCUGGCUCUUUUAGGGUCCGAGUUGUAAUUUGCAGAGAGCGCUUUGGCGUUGGCAGCGGUCCAAGUUCUUUGGAACAGGACGUCACAGAGGGUGAGAAUCCCGUACGUGGUCGCUAGCCUUCGCCGUGUAAAGCCUCUUCGACGAGUCGAGUUGUUUGGGAAUGCAGCUCUAAAUGGGAGGUAAAUUUCUUCUAAAGCUAAAUACUGGCCAGAGACCGAUAGCGCACAAGUAGAGUGAUCGAAAGAUGAAAAGCACUUUGGAAAGAGAGUCAAAUAGCACGUGAAAUUGUUGAAAGGGAAGCGCUUGCAGCCAGACUUGCCUGUAGUUGCUUAUCCGGACUUUUGUCCGGUGCACUCUUCUGCGGGCAGGCCAGCAUCAGUUUAGGCGGUUGGAUAAAGGUCUCUAUCACGUACCUCCCUUCGGGGUUGGCCUUAUAGGGGAGACGACAUGCAGCCAGCCUGAACUGAGGUCCGCGCAUCUGCUAGGAUGCUGGCGUAAUGGCUGUAAGCGGCCCGUCUUGAAACACGGACCAAGGAGUCUAACAUCUAUGCGAGUGUUUGGGUGUCAAGCCCAGACGCGUAAUGAAAGUGAACGGAGGUGGGAACCUUUUAGGUGCACCAUCGACCGAUCCUGAUGUCUUCGGAUGGAUUUGAGUAAGAGCAUGGCUGUUGGGACCCGAAAGAUGGUGAACUAUGCUUGAAUAGGGUGAAGCCAGAGGAAACUCUGGUGGAGGCUCGCAGCGGUUCUGACGUGCAAAUCGAUCGUCAAAUUUGGGCAUAGGGGCGAAAGACUAAUCGAAC
rnacentral:rRNA from 1 species